UAUGUGAUCGUCUCUCGCAUAUCAAUAAGCGGAGGAAAAGAAACUAACAAGGAUUCCCCUAGUAACGGCGAGUGAAGCGGGAGGAGCUCAAAUUUGAAAUCUUAAAGGGUUUCCCUUUACGAAUUGUAGUUUAAAGAAGUGUUUUCUGUUGAGGUUUUGGUAAAAGUUCUUUGGAAUAGGACAUCAUAGAGGGUGAGAAUCCCGUACUUUGACCUUUACUUUCAACUUUGUGAUACACUUUCAAAGAGUCGGAUUGUUUGGGAAUGCAGUCCAAAAUGGGUAGUAAAUUUCAUCUAAAGCUAAAUAUUGGCGAGAGACCGAUAGCGAACAAGUACCGUGAGGGAAAGAUGAAAAGAACUUUGAAAAGAGAGUUAAACAGUACGUGAAAUUGUCAAAAGGGAAGCGUUUGACACCAGUGUUGUUUUUCUGAAAAUCAAUUAAAGAACUGUUUAUGCUAAGUUGUUUAGACUUUAUCAGCUAUACUGCUUAGUUUUGAGCUUUCUUUAAUGCACUUUUCAGUUAACAAGUCAACAUCAAUUUCUUUUGCUGUAAAAAAGCUUGAGGAAGGUGGCUUGAGAUUCGUCUUAAGUGCUUAUAGCCUCUUGCCUAUGCAGUCGGAGAGAUUGAGGUCUGCAGCGUAGAUCCUUCGGGGCUAAAUGCAUUUGUGCUAAGUUAUAGCAUUUUAUAGACAACUUGUUGACUAUGAUUUGUCUUGUAGCUUACUCGCUUAUGUUAUUUUACCUACGCUUAGGAUGUUGAUCUACAGAGCGAGAGU
rnacentral:rRNA from 1 species